ACGGAUUCAAGCUCCGUCUGUU
rnacentral:snRNA from 1 species